CCAUAGCCUCCACUGCUCUUUAUCACCAUCAUCAUUACCAUCUUUUCCAAUCUUCCUUCUAAUUUUUAGGGUUUUCAAUCUCUCCAAACCUCGCUUCAAUGGACUGAAUUCCCAGAGAUUUUUCCCAUCUUCGUUUGGUGAUCGAUGGCGGAUUCUCUUACGGAGCAGGUCUUCAAUCUCCUGAGGAGAUUUGGGAAGCAUUUCAAUCGCAAGGUUUCGGAGAUUGCCAUUCUUCUAAUCAAUCACAAGAAUGCUGGUUCACUUGGAGCUCUUGCUGGAUUUGCUAUUGCUAUAGCUUUUACCUGGAAGUUCUUGAGAUCUCCCAGCAGACACCAAAGAAGUCAACGGAAAAGAAUAGGCUCCGCAUCGACAGGCAGUGAUGGUACUCAAGCAAAUGAAGCUGCUUCCAACUCUGAAUUUCACCAGGCAGAACAACAUCUAAAUGAUAUAGAUGCAGUUCAUGAGGUCCAUCAUCCAGUGGAGCUCACUCUUGGGCAAAUAGUGAGGAAGAAACUAAGCGGCGGGCGGAGGAUGACUUGCCAACUGCUUGGUGUGAUUCUCGAGGAGAGUAGUCCUGAAGAGCUUCAGAAGCAUGCAACUGUGAAGCCCUCGGUAGUGGAAGUACUUCUGGAAAUUUCUAAAUCUUGCGAUCUUUAUCUGAUGGAAAGAAUUCUUGACGACGAAAGUGGGGAAAGAGCUCUCUCAGCUUUGGAGGAUGCUGGCCUUUUCAGAACCAGCAGCUUGAUCAAGGACAAAGUUCUCUUUUGCAGCACUGAAAACGGGCGUAUGUCUUUCGUUCGGCAAUUAGAGCCAGACUGGCAUGUUGAUACAAAUCUUGAGAUAGUCUCUCAGCUAGCCCGGUUCAUCAGAUUCCAACUUCACAUCUGGCCCAUUAGUUCCAGCAAUGUGGCGUCUAACGUAUUUAGUUCGACAAGUCUGGAGCAGUACUUUUCGUGCUUGGAUCAAUACUGAAGAACGAUUUCAAGUUUUCACGCUCUACCAAUUCAACAGAAGGAUGAUUUGCUGGGGAGAUAUGUGAGGCACAAUGAAUCAAUGGGCCCACCAGAUGAGCAGCCAGGCCACAACUUGAGAAGUUGCAUUUUGGAAGCAUGGCCCACUCAGGUGGGGCCCAAUGUAUCAGGUCUGAUCACUGAAUCGUGGACCCCACCUGCACAAACUGAAGACCUGUGCGGGUGCAAUGAUUCUCGGUCAAACACCUUUCCCUUAAUGUUUAUGAAGUUGAUCUCUUUUGCAAGGGAAGAGACUCGAUGCUUUAUAUUUUGUACUCGAUAUGUGCUACAUGCGUAUGAUGAUCCUAGCCGUCCAUCCUGUGGGCUGUCAUUGAUGGGACACCAAAAAUUGAUUUUCACCAAACUCUCCUUACCAUCAAACAAGGUUUUACUUUUUGUUAGUGAAUGUGAGUUGUUGCUGGAUGUUAGGACGGCCUGAAUUCUCUAUUUUGGUCCAUGGUCCAUUCACUAUUGGAUCUACCAAACGAACGGUUUAGAUCUCAUCCAGUCAUGCCACAUGUCCAGGGCAUACUAAAUGAGUGGUUCCAAUGUGGUCCAGUCAUGCCACUAGCGCGUGGAGGAACUAAAGGGUUCUGCUCAUCAACAAAACAUGGUGUGCAGACGUACAUGAUUAUGUGCAUGUAGGACCCAGUUCGGUGCUCAAGGGCGUUGCGGCAACGGGAGGCGGAUUUCCUACUGACACUGUCAGUAGCCAAUAGCUACUGAACGGGAAACGGAUUGGCUACUCCCCCGACACCAGCCCCGUGGCUGGUGGUCGGUGCUCUGUGGGCCCCAUCAUGAUGUAUGUGUUUCAUCCAUUUUUACAGAUCAUUUUAGGGCUUGAUAACAAAAAUGAGAGGGAUAUAAAUCUCAGGUGGACCACACCACAUGAAAACACUAGUGAUUGGAUAUCCACCAUUAAAAUCC